GGGAACUGGAAUACUCUGUAGUACACGUCAAUCCAGAGCAUCUUUUAACAUGCUCAAUGUCUGAGUUCUGGAAGGAGCUGAUGUCCCAAUGGCGGAAGGUGCUGUUCUUGAAGCUGGCCCGGCUCUUGGUGAUGCGAUAGAUCUUCCUCAGCACGGCCCGGCGCAGCAAAAUGUAGACCCAGGGGUCCAGGAUCUGGUUCCAGGAGGCCAGCCGGACGCCCAUCACCAUCAACCUCCUGUAUGUAUCCUGGUCAUUGCCUAUGGAACCGCUAUAGGACCAUGUGACUGACAUCAGGCCAAAGAUCUGCAAGUAACACAGAUACCUGGGUUAGUUUUACAGUGGUUGUGCAGGACAUAGAUAUGUUCAGCUGGUGUUUAUAUAUUUGCAUCAAUCUGCAUACACUGCUAGUAAUUUAUAUACAUUACCCGACACUGUAGAUUGCCACAUGUUAACAAAAAAAAUGAAUAAAGGUAGCAGUCAAAAUGCAUCUUCACAACGUGUUCCUAGGAAUAGCUUUACUGAUGUUAGAAAUCACAGGCUCAAAGUUGUAGCCUUAUAAAUCUUAUUUACAAUUUUUUAACAAUUGGCCACAGCUUAUUAAGAGAUUUUAAGCACAAACAAUGCCUCUGUAAUGGUUCUUACAUCUCCCCAACAGUAAAACAUGUAUGCUGAUCUGUUCCUAUUUAGUUCACACAUCAGUAAUUAUAUUUGGGCCCAACUUCUGUGCAGUAUUGUGCAAAUCAACAGCAUAUUAGGGAGAAGGAACAAGAGGGGGGUGCUCAAGGCUACUCUAAGUUUUAACAGACCCAGUGAUGACAAGUAACAGGCUGCCAUAAUUUGAAGCAUGGUUUAUAGUCUGUCCUCUUUCACUUCUCACAGUUUAUGUGUCAAAAUGAAUGGUUACUUUUAAAUUGGACCUGAAUGUAGAUUGCUUUGUAUGUUUCUAUUGUUGUUUGGUCAGGGUGUGAUUUGGGUGGGAAUUCUAUGUUUGUAUGUCUAGGUUUUUGUAUUUCUAUGUUUCGGCCUGGUAUGGUUCUCAGUCAGGGACAGCUGUCUAUCGUUGUCUCUGAUUGGGAAUCAUAGGUAGUUGUAUUUCUGUUUAGUGUUUGUGUCACCUUGCAGGACUGUUUCAGGUCUUUCUUUUGUUCUUUUUUGUAUUCAGUGUUCAGUUCCUUAAAAUAAAGAUGAACACGUUUCCCGCUGCAUUUUGUUUCUGACGAUUCCUCUUCUUCCGAUGAAAGCCGUUACAACAUAUUAACAGUUUAUACAAAAUUCUUAGUAUUGGAAUUGUAAAAAAAAAUAUAUCCUUGAUUAAAAAAUCAUCAAACCAUCA